UUGUCUCAAAGAUUAAGCCAUGCAUGUCUCAGUACAAGCCAAAUUAAGGUGAAACCGCGAAAGGCUCAUUAAAUCAGUUAUGGUUCCUUGGAUCGUACCCACACUUACUUGGAUAACUGUGGUAAUUCUAGAGCUAAUACAUGCAAACAGAGUCCCGACCGGAGACGGAAGGGACGCUUUUAUUAGAACAAAACCGAUCGGCGGCGGGCGUUCGCGCUCGUCGUCCCCACACCUCUGGUGAAUCUGAAUAACUUUCUGCUGAUCGCACGGUCUCGCACCGGCGACGCAUCUUUCAAAUGUCUGCCUUAUCAACUGUCGAUGGUACGUUCUGUGCCUACCAUGGUCGUAACGGGUAACGGGGAAUCAGGGUUCGAUUCCGGAGAGGGAGCCUGAGAAACGGCUACCACAUCCAAGGAAGGCAGCAGGCGCGCAAAUUACCCACUCCCGGCACGGGGAGGUAGUGACGAAAAAUAACGAUACGGGACUCAUCCGAGGCCCCGUAAUCGGAAUGAGUACACUCUAAAACCUUUAACGAGGAUCAAUUGGAGGGCAAGUCUAGUGCCAGCAGCCGCGGUAAUUCUAGCUCCAAUAGCGUAUAUUAAAGUUGUUGCGGUUAAAAAGCUCGUAGUCGAAUCUGUGUCCCGUGCCGCCGGUUCACCGCUCGCGGUGCCUAACUGGCGUGUCACGGGACGUCCUGCCGGUGGGCUCUGCGUCGCUCUCGGGCGUCGCGGCCCAACCUUCAAUCCCGCAGCGGUGCUCUUCACUGAGUGUCGAGGCGGGCCGGCACUUUUACUUUGAACAAAUUAGAGUGCUUAAAGCAGGCUAAAAGCUCGCCUGAAUAUUCUGUGCAUGGAAUAAUGGAAAAGGACCUCGGUUCUAUUUUGUUGGUAUUCGGAACCCCGAGGUAAUGAUUAAUAGGAACGGAUGGGGACAUUCGUAUUGCGACGUUAGAGGUGAAAUUCUUGGAUCGUCGCAAGACGGACUUGAGCGAAAGCAUUUGCCAAAAACGCUUUCAUUGAUCAAGAACGACAGUUAGAGGCUCGAAGGCGAUCAGAUACCGCCCUAGUUCUAACCAUAAACGAUGCCAGCUAGCGAUCCGCCGACGUUCCUCCGAUGACUCGGCGGGCAGCUCUCGGGAAACCAAAGCUUUUGGGUUCCGGGGGAAGUAUGGUUGCAAAGCUGAAACUUAAAGGAAUUGACGGAAGGGCACCACCAGAAGUGGAGCCUGCGGCUUAAUUUGACUCAACACGGGAAACCUCACCAGGCCCGGACACCGGAAGGAUUGACAGAUUGAGAGCUCUUUCUUGAUUCGGUGGGUGGUGGUGCAUGGCCGUUCUUAGUUGGUGGAGCGAUUUGUCUGGUUUAUUCCGAUAACGAACGAGACUCUAGCCUGCUAAAUAGGCGUAUUUCCGACAUCUCGAAGGCUCGCCAACCGUGUCCGCUUAGGCGGCGCGGCAACGCGCGGUUUUUACUGCCGGCGUAUAAACAAUUCUUCUUAGAGGGACAGGCGGCUUCUAGUCGCACGAGAUUGAGCAAUGACAGGUCUGUGAUGCCCUUAGAUGUCCUGGGCCGCACGCGCGCUACACUGAAGGAAUCAACGUGUCUUCCCUGGCCGAGAGGCCCGGGUAACCCGCUGAACCUCCUUCGUGCUAGGGAUUGGGGCUUGAAAUUUUUCCCCAUGAACGAGGAAUUUCCAGUAAGCACGAGUCAUAAGCUCGUGUUGAUUACGUCCCUGCCCUUUGUACACACCGCCCGUCGCUACUACCGAUUGAAUGAUUUAGUGAGGUCUUCGGACCGGCACGCGGUGGCGUCUCCACGCCGCCGACGCUGCUGGGAAGAUGACCGAACUUGAUCCUUU
rnacentral:rRNA from 1 species